UUUUGUUUCCAAGACGUCUUCUCUCACUUGUGACCUUGAGGUCUGCAUGCACAAUGGGCAGCCAUGUCAUGGUCUCUCUAUGGAAUCACUACUUGGUCCUCUGCUUUACCAUGCCCGUUCCUUUCCCUCCCAGGAAUGCUGUGUGUGUUGUGUAGCAGUUCUGAGAACAACACUAGCUUCUAUCUGAGCUAAAGAAUGUGUCUAUCUCAGGAAAUAGUAUUUCUUUUUUUUUUUAUCUUUAUUAACUUGGGUAUUUCUUAUUUACAUUUUGAUUGUUAUUCCCUUUCCUGGUUUCCAGGCCAACAUCCCCCAACCCCUCCUCCUCCCCUUCUCUAUGGGUGUUCUCCUCCCCAUCCUCCCUCAUGCCAUUACCGCCCUCCCCCCAACAAUCACAUUCACUGGGGGUUCAGUCUUGGCAGGACCAAGGGCUUCCCCUUCCACUGGUGCUCUUACUAGGCUAUUCAUUAGUACCUAUGAGGUCAGAGUCCAGGGUCAGUCCAUGCAUAGUCUUUAGGUAGUGGCUUAGUCCCUGGAAGUUCUGGUUGCUUGGUAUUGUUGUACAUUUGGGGUCUCGAGCCCCUUUAAGCUCUUCCAGUCCUUUCUCUGAUUCCUUCAACGGGGGUCCCGUUCUCAGUUCAAUGGUUUAAUGAUGGCAUUCGCCUAUGUAUUUGCUGUAUUCUGGCUGUGUCUCUCAGGAGAGAUCUACAUCUGGCUCCUGUCGGCCUGCACUUCUUUGCUUCAUCCAUCUUAUCUAAUUGGGCCACAUGUGGGUCAGGCUCUGAAUGGGUGUUCCUUCUGCCUCUGUUCUAAACUUUGCCUCCCUAUUCCCUCCCAAGGGUAUUAGGAAAGAGUAUUUCUACUCCUUAAAGCCAUUUCUACCCAGAGGCUCCAUGUCCCCAUCUAAUCCUCACCCUCAGCUCCAAUAGCACUUCCUGUGCAAGUCAUCUCUUCCUUUGCCCCAGGCUAGGUCAGGCUCUCCCUCCUCAUUUCACUCCCAGACUAUCUUCAAAUUCUAUAGCUAUACAAGUUUCCCUUAGGACAAAUAUCAUCUUGAGCUCAUGAUCACAUAUGUACAAGAUAUUAAAAUGAGACACCUGUCCAUUUUGUCUGUGGAUCCAGACUAGACAUGCAAUACAAUGUCUUGUCACAUAUUAAAGAAAAGGACUAGGUGAAUUAACUGUGUCAAUGCUAUUGAUUUUCUUCUGUUGCCUGUAGAAGAGGCUGUGGAGGCUGGGAUUUCAGAGGAGUCGGUAUUAGCCCUCUACUCUACCUCUUCCUUUUCACCCCAGGGACAGGGUUCUGGUUUUGAUAUGUAACCUGUAGUCUCCUAUGCUUGAACACCGGAUUCCCAGCUAGUCCUGAUGCUUGGAAAUGUGAUGGAACCUUUAGGAGGUGGAGCCUUGCUGGACUUUGUCACUGGGUGUGGCCUUGUGGGUUUAUAGCCUGGCUUUACUUGCUGUUUCCUGAGUAAGGAUAAAAUGUCAAAUUCCUGCUCCCCUUUUAACAUCUUCCCAGCCUGUUUGGUUUUGUCUUGGCCUGGAUGGAUUGAAUCCCUCUGGAGCUGUGAGCCAAAUAAGCCGUCUCCCCCUUGUGCUGUUUUUACGGGGUGUUCUAUCCCAGCAUAGGAAAAGACGCUAAUAUAGACAGGGGAUAGGGAGGAUGGCAACCCAAGGAUCACAGAUGUGCCCUGGCGCCCAAUGGACUCUGGGUUAGUUCAUCCCCCAUCAAGGGGAUGGGGCUGGGACUUGGUGAAUGGAGGCAAAGCCAAAUGGGGGCUUCUGAGGAGAAAGCAGACUCUCCACAGACCACUGGAUAGACCUUUGGGUUCUCUGAUAUCAUUCUCUUGGGAGGUACUUAUGAGUUGUCUACCAGCAGAUCCAUGCUGAAGGAGCCACUAUCAGACAGAGGACCUCCCCCACCCAAGGGAAAGAUACUCAGGACAAAGUGGAGAGUUCGCAGGGGCCAAAUGAGAAAGGAUUUGUCAGGGCUCAGGAUGUCGCUCAGGUAUAGAGUGCUUGUCUGCUAUGUACAGGCACCUGAGUUCAGUUCUCAGGACUAAAGGAUGAGGCUUUGCUUCGUGGAAAGGGCUAUGUUCACAAAACACAGAAGCUUGAGUAGAGGGAAAGAGACACCAAGGAAACAAGCAGAGACAGAGAUGGUCAUGCACUCGCAUGUGCAUGCACACACACAGACACAGACACAGACACACACACAAACACACACACACACACAAAGACACAGACAGACACACACAGACACAGACACACACAGACACAGACACAGACACACACAGACACACACACAGACACAGACACACACAGACACACACACACAAACACACACACAAAGACACAGGCAGACACACACAGACACAGACACACACACACACACAAACACACACACAAAGACACAGGCAGACACACACAGACACAGACACACACACACACACAAACACACACACAAAGACACAGGCAGACACACACAGACACAGACACACACAUACACAGACACACAGACACAGACACACACACACACACACAAACACACACAAACACACAGACAGACACACACAAAGACAGACACACAAACAGACAGCAGCACUCAGCUGGUACUGAGAAGUAGACUUAAUUUCUAAGGAAUAACCUGUGUGUAAAGAAUGUGACCCCUUUGUCUCUCAACACUGUUAUUCAGUUACAACUCAAGGCAGUCUUGAACAUCGGAGUGACAGCAUCAUUCUGGAGCGUAUUAAGACUCAGAUCCCUGGGAUUCACAGUGCUGGUGAUGUGAGAGCUGAGGUUCCUUCUGGCUGUGAGGAGUUCUGAUUCCUGGAAAGCCUGCUGCUUUGCCACAUUAACAAAGAGGAGGAGGAGGAGGAGGAGGUUUAUAGUCCUCGGAAAAAACAACUUCCAAAGCUGUGCUUUCUUUCCACACACAGCAAUGGUUAAAAAUAGAAGCCAAUUAGCCUGGGAGGGUUGGGUGCUGAGGAGCUGAGGUAUCUGAAGGAAAACCCACCCUCCUCUCUAUUUUUGGUGGAGGGAACAGCAUUUCCAACAGGUAGAAGCACAAACGGUAGCAACCUGUGGUGACUUUGUUUUUCAUAGGCUUGUGUUCCCAGGAUGCUUCUGCCAGGAGACUUGGGUGCUAGGUUUAAAAGCACAGGCAGUGCUGGCUAACAAGUAUGGGUGCAUUUGAAUUGUAACUUUUUAGAUGGCUUAGUUAGUGUUGCUCCCAUGAAGGGACACCAUGACCAUAGCAACUCAUAUAAAGAAAGCACGGUAGGGGCUUGCCUAUAGUUUUAGGGGGUUUGCCUAUGUUAUCAUGAUGGGAAGCACACACGCAUGGCACUGGAACAGGGGCUGAGUGCUUCAUAUCUUGAUCUGAGGCUUCUGAAGUUUUACCCCCAGUUACACAUCUUUUUCAAGGACAGAUCUACACCACUAAAGCCACGCCUCCUAAUCCCCAGCAGUCCACCGAGAACCAAGCAUUCAAAUACAUGAGCCUACCAGGGCGAUUUUUAUUCAAACCACCACAUUAGGCAAUGGAUGGUUUCUUGUUACAGCUUCAGUGAGGGGUGAAACAAAUUAGCUUGUGGUGGAGGCGAAACUUGAGCCUAGUGAGUAAAUAACUUUAUCCAUUCGUGUGUGUGUGUGUGUGUGUGUGUGUGUGUGUGUGUGUGUAGCAGCAAUUGGACUUCCAAACCUUUAUUCUCCUGGUUUAGGUAUGAUCUUAAAUCUAAUAAAAAUUUCUGAUCCCAAACCUCUUCCGCCAAAUAAGUUCUGUCAGUGUUUCUUGAAUUUUCCUGGCCAAGAAUCACCAGGAAGAGACUAUAAGCCCAGGUCCUCCACUAAAGACUGGUUCUGAAUGCCAGGCUUCCACUGCCGGAAACACUGUGUGAGCCAGAUAGAGACCAUUAAUUUUGAUAUCUUUCAUUUAAUCUAGUGUACUCAUGAUGAAUAUCCUUUCAAUAAAUGAUCAAUAUCACGCAACAA